AGUAUCUUCGGAUAUGACUAGAGCGGCGGACGGGUGAGUAACGCGUAGGAAUCUACCUAGUAGAAGGGGAUAGCCCGGGGAAACCCGGAUUAAUACCGUAUACCUCCUUCGGGAGAAAGAAGGCCUCUCUUUGAAGCUUUCGCUAUUAGAUGAGCCUGCGUAAGAUUAGCCUGUUGGUGAGGUAAAGGCUCACCAAGGCGACGAUCUUUAGCUGGUCUGAGAGGACGAUCAGCCACAUUGGGACUGAGACACGGCCCAGACUCCUACGGGAGGCAGCAGUGGGGAAUAUUGGACAAUGGGCGCAAGCCUGAUCCAGCCAUACCGCGUGUGUGAAGAAGGCCUUCGGGUUGUAAAGCACUUUAAGCAGGGAGAAAAAGUUAUAAGUUAAUACCUUAUAACCGUGAUGUUACCUG
rnacentral:rRNA from 1 species